CCUACGGGAGGCAGCAGUGAGGAAUAUUGGACAAUGGAGGCAACUCUGAUCCAGCCAUGCCGCGUGCAGGAAGACGGCCCUAUGGGUUGUAAACUGCUUUUAUACAGGAAGAAUGGUACCUACGUGUAGGUAUUUGACGGUACUGUACGAAUAAGGAUCGGCUAACUCCGUGCCAGCAGCCGCGGUAAUACGGAGGAUCCAAGCGUUAUCCGGAAUCAUUGGGUUUAAAGGGUCCGUAGGCGGUCUGAUAAGUCAGAGGUGAAAUCCUGCAGCUCAACUGUAGCAUUGCCUUUGAUACUGUUAGACUUGAGUUAUUGUGAAGUAGUUAGAAUGUGUGGUGUAGCGGUGAAAUGCAUAGAUAUCACACAGAAUACCGAUUGCGAAGGCAGAUUACUAACAAUACACUGACGCUGAGGGACGAAAGCGUGGGUAGCGAACAGGAUUAGAUACCCUGGUAGUCCACGCCGUAAACGAUGGAUACUAGCUGUUCGACCAACAUGGGUUGGUUGAGUGGCUAAGCGAAAGUGAUAAGUAUCCCACCUGGGGAGUACGCUCGCAAGAGUGAAACUCAAAGGAAUUGACGG
rnacentral:rRNA from 1 species